UACGUAGGGGGCAAGCGUUAUCCGGAUUUACUGGGUGUAAAGGGAGCGUAGACGGCAGCGCAAGUCUGGAGUGAAAUGCCGGGGCCCAACCCCGGAACUGCUCUGGAAACUGUGAAGCUGGAGUGCAGGAGAGGUAAGCGGAAUUCCUGGUGUAGCGGUGAAAUGCUUAGAGAUCAUACAGAACACCGAUUGCGAAGGCAGCUUACCAAGCUACUUCUGACGUUGAGGCACGAAAGCGUGGGGAGCAAACAGG
rnacentral:rRNA from 1 species